UUCUGGUGGGACACCAUUGUACCGAGUUCACCGCUCCACAGUUUGAGCAAAACCUCCGUGUGUCCAGAUCUUUAAAUGGCCUCACCCCACCUGACCUCUCUGAGCUCCUCCGCCUCUGCGCACCUGCCUCAGGUCUGCGGACCAGACAUAAUUAGAUGUACCAAGGAGUAAGCGGACGCUCAAAGCGGACCGAGCCUUUUCCGUUGCUGGUCCCUCUCUUUGGAAUAACCUCCCUCUGAACAUUCGGCAAGCCCCCUCAUUGCCUGCUUUUUAUUCUUUGGAUUUAUGAGAUUUUGUUGUUGUUUAUUUUUGUUUGUUUGUUUCACUGUGUUUGUGCUUUCGACUGUCUUUGUUAUUAAUUUAUUGUUUCAUAGUUUUUGAAUUGCAACCACUGGAUAGGUAUUCCGAUAAUAAAAUCACAAGUGAUGUGCAAAGACAUCCAGUAAAGAGUUUAUUUUGGUUUUCUUGGAGCACGCCUCCCUUCUCGCUUCCAGUUUUUGCUUGUGACUAAUUGAUGAUGUUCUUAAAAAGAAGUCUGUUUGUCAACGUGUUGGCUUUUGAAUGCACCUGGUUCCUAGAAAGAUGCUUUGUCAGAUGAGCUUUGAAAGUUGUUGUCAAAUGUAAGCGAGCGACAAUAGCUGACAGUGACAUUGCAAUGUAGUGUGUGUGUGUGUUUAUAUAUUCAUUUUUUUAAUUUAGAUCGUGUCUCGAUAAGUUCAGUGCUUAAGAAGUGCUGUCCACAUGAUUGAAUGUUGUUGUUGUACACAUUAUUGGAAGAUGAAACAUAUCAUUUAUAGUCAAAGUUGUGCUAAAGUGCUCAAGUGACGGACAUGUUUACGCCCCAUUCUUUGGUCGAGUUUUGCUAGCGUGUACAGAUAAACAAAUAAACUGUUUUU